rnacentral:rRNA from 1 species
AAUGAACGCUGGCGGCGCGCCUAAUACAUGCAAGUCGAGCGAGAAGACGUAGCAAUACGUUUGUAAAGCGGCGAACGGGUGAGGAAUACAUGGGUAACCUACCCUCGAGUGGGGAAUAACUAGCCGAAAGGUUAGCUAAUACCGCGUACGCUUCUUGGACUUCGGUUCAGGGAGGAAAGCGAUGCCGAGGGUAUCGCGCUCUUGGAUGGGCUCAUGUCCUAUCAGCUUGUUGAUGAGGUAACGGCUCACCAAGGCUUCGACGGGUAGCUGGUCUGAGAGGACGAUCAGCCACACUGGCACUGCGACACGGGCCAGACUCC